AUGGCUCAGUUUCCGCACCCCAAUAUGAAUCAGCAACCAGCCCUAGUGACUCGGCAAGACCUUGCAUGUCUCAACCCUGUCAUCUACCGCAACUCAACUCAGCCCCUUGAUGCUGAUGAAUGGCUCCGUGAAAUCACUUUCGAGUUGGAGUCUGCUGAUGUAGCCCCUGCCAACUAUGUCACCUUCGCGGCUUAUUACCCAAAAGGUUCCCGCUGCUCGAUGGUGGAACAACCACAUGCGUUCCUUACCUAUUGGAACCGCCAUCGCUUAGCCGGAAUUCCAAGUUGCAUUCUGCGGGCCAAUGUCGAACCACCAUGGUUAGUCACAACAUUCCCGUCGAAAUUGAAGGGUUGGAAUUCCAUGUUUCCCCCAUUGUUUUGA
rnacentral:rRNA from 1 species